rnacentral:rRNA from 1 species
GUAACAAGGUUUCCGUAGGUGAACCUGCGGAAGGAUCAUUACCUAGAGUUGUAGGCUUUGCCUGCUAUCUCUUACCCAUGUCUUUUGAGUACUUACGUUUCCUCGGCGGGUCCGCCCGCCGAUUGGACAAUUUAAACCAUUUGCAGUUGCAAUCAGCGUCUGAAAAACUUUAAUAGUUACAACUUUCAACAACGGAUCUCUUGGUUCUGGCAUCGAUGAAGAACGCAGCGAAAUGCGAUAAGUAGUGUGAAUUGCAGAAUUCAGUGAAUCAUCGAAUCUUUGAACGCACAUUGCGCCCCUUGGUAUUCCAUGGGGCAUGCCUGUUCGAGCGUCAUUUGUACCUUCAAGCUUUGCUUGGUGUUGGGUGUUUGUCUCGCCUCUGCGUGUAGACUCGCCUUAAAACAAUUGGCAGCCGGCGUAUUGAUUUCGGAGCGCAGUACAUCUCGCGCUUUGCACUCAUAACGACGACGUCCAAAAGUACAUUUUUACACUCUUGACCUCGGAUCAGGUAGGGAUACCCGCUGAACUUAAGCAUAUCA